UGGGGGAUAUUGCACAAUGGGCGAAAGCCUGAUGCAGCGACGCCGCGUGGGGGAUGAAGGCCUUCGGGUUGUAAACUUCUUUUGCUCUGAACAAGGCAUGCUAAUGGGUGUGUUGAGUGUAGGGGUUGAUUAGCGCCGGCUAACUACGUGCCAGCAGCCGCGGUAAUACGUAGGGCGCGAGCGUUGUCCGGAAUUAUUGGGCGUAAAGGGCUUGUAGGUGGCUGGUUGCGUCUGUCGUGAAAGCUCAUGGCUAACUGUGGGUUUGCGGUGGGUACGGGCUGGCUUGAGUGCAGUAGGGGAGGCUGGAAUUCCUGGUGUAGCGGUGGAAUGCGCAGAUAUCAGGAGGAAUACCGGUGGCGAAGGCGGGUCUCUGGGCUGUUACUGACACUGAGGAGCGAAAGCAUGGGGAGCGAACAGG
rnacentral:rRNA from 1 species